GAUGAACGCUGGCGGCGUGCCUAAUACAUGCGAGUCGAGCGAAUGGAUUAAGAGCUUGCUCUUAUGAAGUUAGCGGCGGACGGGUGAGUAACACGUGGGUAACCUGCCCAUAAGACUGGGAUAACUCCGGGAAACCGGGGCUAAUACCGGAUAAUAUUUUGAACUGCAUGGUUCAAAAUUGAAAGGCGGCUUCGGCUGUCACUUAUGGAUGGACCCGCGUCGCAUUAGCUAGUUGGUGAGGUAACGGCUCACCAAGGCAACGAUGCGUAGCCGACCAGAGAGGGGGAUCGGCCACACUGGGACUGAGACACGGCCCAGACUCCUACGGGAGGCAGCAGUAGGGAAUCUUCCGCAAUGGACGAAAGUCUGACGGAGCAACGCCGCGUGAGUGAUGAAGGCUUUCGGGUCGUAAAACUCUGUUGUUAGGGAAGAACAAGUGCUAGUUGAAUAAGCUGGCACCUUGACGGUACCUAACCAGAAAGCCACGGCUAACUACGUGCCAGCCGCCGCAGUAA
rnacentral:rRNA from 1 species